rnacentral:rRNA from 1 species
UCGCUUUGGGAGGAGCUCGCUUACUAUCAGCUUGUUGGUAGGGUAACGGCCUACCAAGGCUAUGACGGUUAGGGGGUGUGAGAGCAUGACCCCCAGCAUUGGCACUGAAACACUGGCCAAACACCUACGGGUGGCUGCAGUCGAGAAUCUUCCACAAUGGGGGAAACCCUGAUGGAGCGAUGCUGCGUGCGGGAUGAAGGCCUUCGGGUUGUAAACCGCUUUUGUAGGGGACGAAAUUUUUGACGGUACCCUUUCGAAUAAGAGGUUGCUAACUCUGUGCCAGCAGCAGCGGUAAUACAGAGACCACAAGCGUUAUCCGGAUUUACUGGGCGUAAAGCGUCUGUAGGGGGUUUAUUAAGUUCCAAGUAAAAUUUCAAGGCUCAACUUUGAAUUCGCUUGGAAAACUAAUAAACUGGAGUCUAGCAGAGGUGCAUGGAACUUGUGGUGUAGGAGUGAAAUCCGUUGAUAUCACAAGGAACACCAAAGGCGAAGGCAUUGCACUGGGCUAGCACUGACCCUGAGAGACGAAAGCGUGGGGAGCAAAACGGAUUAGAUACCCGUGUAGUCCACGCCCUAAACGAUGAAUGCUAAAUGUUCGGGGAUUCGACCCCCUGGGUGUUACAGCUAACGCGUUAAGCAUUCCGCCUGGGAAGUACGGCCGCAAGGCUAAAACUCAAAGGAAUAGACGGGGAUCCGCACAAGCGGUGGAGCGUCUGGUUUAAUUCGACAGUAAGCGUGGUACCUCACCAGGGUUUGACAUCCCUUGACAGCCUUGGAAACAAGGUUUCCUUCGGGCAAGGUGACAGGUGCUGCAUGGUCGUCGUCAGUUCGUGCCGUGAGGUGUUCCGUUAAGUCGGGAAACGAACGAAACCCCUAUUGCAUGUUACAAUUUCUCAUGCAAGACUGCCCGGAUAUACUGGGAGGAAGGUGGGGAUGACGUCAGAUCUGCAUGGUCCUUAUACCCUGGGCGACACAGGCGCUACAAUGGCAGAGACAAAGGGUUGCAAAACCGCAAGGUGAAGCUAAUCCCAAAAACUUUGUCUAAGUUCGGAUUGAAGGCUGCAAUUCGCCUUCAUGAAGCUGGAAUCGCUAGUAAUCGUGAAUCAGCCACGUCACGGUGAAUAUGUUCCCGGAUCUUGUACUCACCGCCCGUCACACCAAGAGAGUUGGUAGCUCCCGAAGCGUCCCGUUUUAGCGGGGC